rnacentral:rRNA from 1 species
AUGGUAGGGUGCUCCACGUGUCGUGCACCGACCGUGCUGCGACAGGGGAAGGGUACACACGCCGGUGAUGGCGUACCCCCGCGCGCAACUGGCGAGUGGUGGAGCUGGUCUCCGGCUACGGUGGAGUUGCAAGCGGCAAGGGGCAAAGCUGCAACCGGCAAGCGGCGGAGCUGGAACCGGCCUGAGAAGGAGCUGGAAACAUUUGACUUUUUUGCUGGAAGGUACGGCGUGCGACUGAGCUUCAACGCCCAUUUUUUUGCUGGAAGCAUCGAUUUAUUUUGUUGGAAGCAGCAUUUUCUUUUGCUGGAACACUUCUUUCAAAGCUGCGAACAACUUUUUUUCUGGAAGCAGUAA